CCUACGGGAGGCAGCAGUGAGGAAUAUUGGUCAAUGGGCGCGAGCCUGAACCAGCCAAGUAGCGUGAAGGAUGACUGCCCUACGGGUUGUAAACUUCUUUUAUAAAGGAAUAAAGUGAGGCUCGUGUGCCUUUUUGUAUUUACUUUAUGAAUAAGGAUCGGCUAACUUCGUGCCAGCAGCCGCGGUAAUACGGUGGAUCCGUGCGUUAUCCGGAUUUAUUGGGUUUAAAGGGAGCGUAGAUGGGUUGUUAAGUCAGUUGUGAAAGUUUGCGGCUCAACCGUAAAAUUGCAAUUGAUACUGGCAGCCUUGAGUACAGUUGAGGUAGGCGGAAUUCGUGGUGUAGCGGUGAAAUGCUUAGAUAUCACGAAGAACUCCGAUUGCGAAGGCAGCUUACUAAGCUGCCACUGACAUUGAUGCUCGAAAGUGUGGGUAUCAAACAGGAUUAGAUACCCGAGUAGUC
rnacentral:rRNA from 1 species